UACGUAGGGGGCAAGCGUUGUCCGGAUUUACUGGGUGUAAAGGGAGCGCAGACGGCAGUGCAAGUCUGGAGUGAAAGCCCGGGGCCCAACCCCGGAACUGCUCUGGAAACUGUGCGGCUAGAGUACUGGAGGGGCAGGCGGAAUUCCUAGUGUAGCGGUGAAAUGCGUAGAUAUUAGGAGGAACACCGGUGGCGAAGGCGGCCUGCUGGACUGUGACUGACGUUGAGGCCCGAAGGCGUGGGGAGCAAACAGG
rnacentral:rRNA from 1 species